GAUGAAGAACGCAGCGAAAUGCGAUAAGUAAUGUGAAUUGCAGAAUUCAGUGAAUCAUCGAAUCUUUGAACGCACAUUGCGCCCCCUGGAAUUCCGGGGGGCAUGCCUGUUCGAGCGUCUCAGGGACGAACCCUCGCGCGGGUGUACGCGCGGUCGUGGCUGCGGUGGCGUGCCCGAGGCGGCGGCCACCGCGCUGGAAUCCAUGGGCGGACGCCUGCCGCGUGGCCGAGCGUGAUAUGACGCAUUGGCGCUCGCACGCGGAGAGGCUGCCAGCCCUGGCCCGUCUGUCGGGCGGGGGAGAGCAAGACACGUGAACUCCUCGAAUCAGGUAGGGAUACCCGCUGAACUUAAGCAUAUCAAUAAGCGGAGG
rnacentral:misc_RNA from 1 species